AUUGAACGCUGGCGGCAGGCCUAACACAUGCAAGUCGAGCGGAGCGGCGGACGGGGGAGUAAUGCCUAGGAAUCUGCCUGGUAGUGGGGGAUAACGUCCGGAAACGGGCGCUAAUACCGCAUACUAUCAGAUUAGCCUAGGUCGGAGUAGCUAGUUGGUGGGGUAAAGGUCUACCAAGGCCACGAUCCCUAACUGGUCUGAGAGGAUGAUCAGUCACACUGGAACUGGGACACGGUCCAGACUCCUACGGGAGGCAGCAGUGGGGAAUAUUGGACAAUGGGCGAAAGCCUGAUGCAGCCAUGCCGCGUGUGUGAAGAAGGUCUUCGGGUUGUAAAGCACUUUAAGUUGGGAGGCGUUACCCGCAGAAUAAGCACCGGCUAACUCCGUGCCAGCAGCCGCGGUAAUAC
rnacentral:rRNA from 1 species